rnacentral:lncRNA from 1 species
CAAUAUUCCCAAAACUUCAAACUCUCUUUACUCUCUCAUCUUUCAUCCGAUUUGGGCGAUUCAAAAGGCAAAGUUGUGAGAUUUUUCGAGGGCAACGCGUUGGUGAGCUCGGAUAGUGAUUUGGAGUCCCCGUUUGAGGUAAAUUUCGAAAAACACCUGCUGCCAGACCCCUUUUUGUGAGUUUGUUUUUGGGAAUUUUUAAGACUUGUUUUCUUAGCCAUUUUAGAUCCGAUUUUGGUGAUUUUUGAGGCUAUCUUGAGUGGUUUUUCGAGGAGAACAUUGUGGUGUUGUUAGAUUUUACUGUAGAUCGCCCGUUUUUGGUAAAUACGCUGAAUUAGCUGCUGUCCCAUUUCUAUUCUUUUGAGAAAAAUUGGGUUUUAGUUGCUUGUUGAUAUUGUGUUGUUCCCGAGCCCCGAAUUGUGUCCCAUUAUGGGAAAUGAGCUGGGGGAACUGGUUAGGACCCACUUUUGGGGUUAAUUUCGGAAUUCCCUGCGCGGGUCCCACGAUUCCCGUUUUGACUCCAAAAUUGACCCGUCUCCGUUUGUUGUGAUUUUGGUGUCUAAACGACUGUAAUAACGUUGUGACUCUAUUUUUGAUAGCGGGGCAGCGUU